CCCCGCGGUGCGCGCAGGCGGAACUAUCGAUCUGCGGUUUGACGCCUGAACUCGAGUGCCGCCCGGUGAAUUAACCCCAAAUUAUAGACCCGACAAUAUAACCCAACAGGGAAGAUGGAGGGAGGAAGGGAAGCGGGGUAGAGGCGACGUAGCUGGGAUUAGCCCAGUUGAUUCGUGUCGCGGCUGUUUGCUCACGGCGUAAAUCAGAAUGCGCCAUUGCACGCGUGCCACGCCCCGAGUUUCGCGAGGCCUCGCGUCUCGUAUCUCGUAUUAUCUCGUCGCGCGCGAACACGAGAGUCAUUAUUGCGUUGCACCGUCGUCAGCGCGAAUCGACCGACUGCACAUACUGUGCGACGCGGGCAUCGGAGAAUGUAAGCUCGCGAAUUGGAUUGCCGAGGUGUAUACAUACGCCGAGUGUGAUACAUUUCCAAAAAGUAGAGAUUUUUUAUGCGUAAGGUAUAUAGAUAUGGCAUAUGUCGAGCUUUUCGAACAAAGCGAACGUGAGACAUUGAGUGAUUGAGACUUUGGAAGAGAUAUAAACUUGUGGAAAAGUGAAAUUUUCCCAGGAAGCUUUCAACAUGCACGUGGAUAGCCACCGUGUGGAUUUAGGCCUGUUAAAUAGAGAGAAUCCCACAUAACCUCCAAACUUCCCCCAAAGGACGGGGAUAUGCGUAAUGCAUUUCCUACUCAAAAUAAAGGCAACACACAAUAAAUUUCUUAAUUUUAUAUAUUAAGGAGAUCCCUCAGCGAACGACGACAAAAUAAUAGCGCACUCAUUUUGGAAUUAAAAAUAUUGGUAAUUAUCGACUGAUUCUUGAAGAAUAAUUACAGAUACUUUAAACUAUAAAUCAUCCCAGAUCAAACAUGUAUUAAAAAUCUAUGUAUACAUAUGGCACACAUGGAGUCACUUUCUGCUACGUUUAAUACUAUAUUAUAAGUUUGAAGGUAAAUAUGUAUUGCUGUUUUUGGUUCUAUUAUACUUACAACGCACGCACACGUACGUACAAAUCAUAAUACAAACUGUAUUUAUAUGGAACUUUUAAUCUAAAUUUAGAAGAUAAUGCUUUUUUAUGUAUGUUAAUCUCAGGGAUCUUGUGUUUAUAUUUAUACAAAAUGUAUAUUUUUUAUAUAAAGUAUAUAAUAUUAGGUCCUUGAAUAAGUUCUCGCUGUUUCUUAAAAGAUGGCGUAGCGGCACUCUGUGCAUGGAAUUUCGUACGGAAACGCAUCAGCUAAGUAGUACUAUAUGUAACCUCAAAUUCUAGUAGAUACAGUUUACCACAGUGUCAACCACGUGUUUAAUUACCUAUUGCGAAAAUGUCUACUUUUGUGCCAAAUAAAGUGUUUUUGCGGGGAAUUUUAUUGCACUGCUUUAUUCAAAAGAAAUCUGCAGCUGAAGCACACAGAAUUCUUGUUGAAACAUAUGGUGACAAUGCUCUGUCGAAUACGACAUGCAGAGACUGGUUUAGGCGCUUUAAAAAUAAUGACUUUGACCUUGAAGAUAAAGAACGUUCUGGAGCACCGACAAAGUUUGAAGACGAAGAAUUGGAGGCAUUGCUGUGUGGUCUCUAAUGAUGGACAAUACUUUGAGUAAAGUUAUUGUAAGCCUUAUAUUUUAAAUAAAUGUUUUUUUUAACAAAAAAAACAGCGAGAACUUAUUCAAGGACCUAAUAUGAUGAGUUGACAGCUCAUCUGUCAUUCGAGACGUCACAUUGAGGUAAAAGUAGAUAAGGAAAGCUAUAAUUUCAUAAUUAUUUCUCGUUUAUCAUAUGAAAUUGAACUUUCCUGGGAUCAUUGAUAUAUGUAUUGCAAUUGUAGAGAAGCAUUUUUAAUACUGUCAAAUUAAUGCGACAAAAGAUUAGAAGUACGAAAAUAAUAGUUGGUUGAUAAAGCUGACAAUCGUGAAGAAUCCCCUUAAACAAAGUUAUAAAAUGUGUCUAAUUCUUUAAGGUAUAAUGGUUUGAAUCAAUAAAAAGACAAAUGCAUACUUUA